GCUGUUCAGAGUAUAACACGUCCGAUUUUGACCCUGAAAGUACUGUGAAGAAUGAAGCUGGCUGUUUGCCAAAACACCCGCCGUCUGAGAAGAAUGGAAACGCUUGUGAGCGUGUUUUUCAUGGCUCUUGCUCACAGUUCGCUAGCUCUUUUAUCAUGUGCUAGGAGAACACGUCAUCCUUUCCGGGAAGUGAAGACUCACCCAGGAUUUCGCAUAAUUUUACAAGCUGAGAAAUGGGAAAACGUGUAGGAUCAGGGAAACGGCAGUUUUGUUGUGGACAGGUACGGCUAAUUAAGAGCGAGAGAUCGAUGGUGAUCAUUUACUCUUUCGAUCCGAGUGACACAUCACAUUCCAGUAAAGCGAAGAACAUGACUCAUCCUUGAAACCGAUAAACAUGUAGGCCUACCUCAGGAAUUGUUGUCCAUGAUGUAAUAGACUUUAUGUGCCUUUAUUAUAGCCUAGUCUAGAGUUAGAUAAGUAAGUGUAAACAUUCGUUACCUAUAUUUGCAUUUUUUAUUGCAUUAAUAGCCUAUCGCUUAUGUCUUCAUUUAAUUAACGCAGGGGAAUCACGCCAUAGCAACCUCCCGCCACCAAAUGGACUUUCAUUUCAGGCAUUCAGAUGGCAGCGGGAAAGCCACGGACAGGACUCCCAGGCCUCUCAGGAACUCUGACCUCAUUUCCUUUUUGAAGAGCGCAUCAUGUAGUGUGUUAUUUUGGACGUGUGUGUAAAGUGGUGCUUAAGCAUGGCAGACGCAUACCAACCGGCUCUCUCCUUACAAACGAAGGGCAUGCAACCUAUGAAGAACUAUGCAGCUUGGUGAUGUGUGCAACAAAUAAAUGGGUUUAAAAAGUGGA